GAUGAACGCUGGCGGCGUGCCUAAUACAUGCAAGUCGAGCGAACGGACGAGAAGCUUGCUUCUCUGAUGUUAGCGGCGGACGGGUGAGUAGCACGUGGAUAACCUACCUAUAAGACUGGGAUAACUUCGGGAAACCGGAGCUAAUACCGGAUAAUAUUUUGAACCGCAUGGUUCAAAAGUGAAAGACGGUCUUGCUGUCACUUAUAGAUGGAUCCGCGCUGCAUUAGCUAGUUGGUAAGGUAACGGCUUACCAAGGCAACGAUGCAUAGCCGACCUGAGAGGGUGAUCGGACACACUGGAACUGAGACACGGUCCAGACUCCUACGGGAGGCAGCAGUAGUGAAUCUUCCGCAAUGGGCGAAAGCCUGACGAAGCAACACCGCGUGAGUGAUGAAGGUCUUCGGAUCGUAAAACUCUGUUAUUAGGGAAGAACAUAUGUGUAAGUAACUGUGCACAUCUUGACGGUACCUAAUCAGAAAGCUACGGCUAACUACGUG
rnacentral:rRNA from 1 species